GACGAACGCUGGCGGCGUGCCUAAUACAUGCAAGUCGAGCGCAGGAAACUGACGGAACUUUUCGGAGGGAAGGCAGUGGAAUGAGCGGCGGACGGGUGAGUAACACGUAAGGAACCUGCCUCAAGGAUUGGGAUAACUCCGAGAAAUCGGAGCUAAUACCGGAUAGUUCAACGGACCGCAUGGUCCGUUGAUGAAAGGCGCUCCGGCGUCACCUUCAGAUGGCCUUGCGGUGCAUUAGCUAGUUGGUGGAGUAACGGCUCACCAAGGCGACGAUGCAUAGCCGACCUGAGAGGGUGAUCGGCCACACUGGGACUGGGACACGGCCCAGACUCCUACGGGAGGCAGCAGUAGGGAAUCUUCCACAAUGGACGAAAGUCUGAUGGAGCAACGCCGCGUGAGCGAUGAAGGUUUUCGGAUCGUAAAACUCUGUUGUAAGGGAAGAACACGUACGAGAGGAAAUGCUCGUACCUUGACGGUACCUUACGAGAAAGCCACGGCUAACUACGUGCCAGCCGCCGCGGUAA
rnacentral:rRNA from 1 species